rnacentral:sRNA from 1 species
UCUUCGAUUAUGGAGGGAAUUAGGUUU